AGGAGGGGCAACCGCCUGAGGUGGAAGGCAGAGAACAGGCAGGCCUGAAAGUCCCAGUACCAGAAUGCAAUCUGCAUGGGAAAGAACUUCUGAGCCUGCUUGAGUGAGGAGCAGCUCUCGGAAUGCCUCCAGGCCUUCUGGGACAACAUCACGUGCCUGGGCCCAGACUGGGUAAGGGAGAGAGCGGCUUUUGUGGUCUUAUCCCUCCUCAGCUAGGCCCACGCUGUUCUAGACGACAAGGAUGAGGCAAUAACAAUAGGAAUUUGUAUUUUGACAAAUGGAAUUCUUACCUAGAGAGGACACCAUCCCACAAUCCUCAGGCAUGACCUCCCUGUCCAGCGCUCUCUGGCACAAGUCCAGCAAGACCCAUCUCCCACGGUGAAGUAUGCAACCACCUCCUCAAAAGUCACCAGACUCUGGAAGUAGAAAACAAUUUCCUCCCUCAGGAAUCAUCACAAACAGGAGGUUAGCGGGAUCUCUCACCCCCACCUGUUACCUGAAGGGAUCUCCUUGCAUAAAUAUGAUUUAUGGGGGGAAUUAGCUCGCAAGGAAGACCGCUAUACGAGAGGCAGUAACUGGAAUUGAAUCACCUGUGUCUAUGGGGUCCCAAUCCCAAUAAGCCAAGCGAGUCUGGUGCUUCAAAUCAAUCAAUAACUUUUAUUAAAGAACAGAACUUUAUACACAUACACACCAAUUACUGG